GAAUCCGCUAAGGAGUGUGUAACAACUCACCUGCCGAAUGAACUAGCCCUGAAAAUGGAUGACGCUUAAGCGGAUUGCCGACACCAGACCGUUUUGGCAAGAAGCGACCAAAAUGAGUAGGAGGGCGUGGCGGUUUUGUUGAGAAGGAUGAGACGCAAGUCUAUCUGAAACGGCCGCUAGUGCAGAUCUUGGUGGUAGUAGCAAAUAUUCAAGCGAGAUCCUUGAAGGGCGAAGCGGGGAAGGGUUCCACGCGAACAUUGAUUGGGCGUGGGUGAGUCGUUCCUAAGCCGGGUGGUAAUCGUUCUUCGAUCGGCGAAAGGGAAGCGGGUUAAAAUUCUCGCACACGGAUGUGGAGGCGGUGACGCAAAUUGAGGUGGAGACGUUAGCGAUGGCACUGGGCAGAGUUGUCUUUUCUGUUUAACCUGCGAGUGCACUCUGUGGAAUCCGAUUAUCGGGAGAAACAGGUGCUUAUGGGAAGAGCGUCGGGGCGUCCCCGGCGUCCAGUACGCCAUCGAUAGCCCCUGAAAAUCCAUCUGCAAUGAAAUUUCACGCCGUGGCGUACCGAUAACCGCAUCAGGUCCCCAAGGUGAACAGCCUCUGCUCAAUAUGAACAAUGCAGGUAAGGGAAGUCGGCA
rnacentral:rRNA from 1 species